AGAUGCAAGAGAGAACAGAUAUGGGGACAUAUGUAUAUGUAUAACUGAUUCACUUUGUUAUGAAGCAGAAACUGACGCACCAUUGCAAAGCAAUUAUACUCCAAUAAAGAUUUUUGGAAAAAAAAACAACACAAUGAGAGGGAAUUCCCUGGAGGUCCAGGGGUUAGGACUUUGCGCUCUCAGUGCCGAGGGCCCAGGUUCAAUCCCUGGUUAGGGAACUAAAAUCCCACAAGCCACGAGACAAGGCCAAAAAAAAAAAAAAAACACCAACUCACACCUGCUAGAAUGGCUUGCUUCAAAAUGAAGAGAGAGGCUGUCAAGGAUGUGGGAAAACAGGACCCUUGUACGGUUUUGGUGGGAUUGUAAAUUGGUACAACCAGUAUGGAAAACAGUAUAGGUUUCCUCAAAAAAUAAAAAAAGAACUACCCUAUGAUCCAGCAAUUCCACUUCUGGGAAUAUAUCCAAAGGAAAUGAAGACACUAUGUCAAAGAGAUAGCUGCAUCAUCACAUUCACAGUGGCACCAUUUACAACAGCCAAGACAGGAGACAGCCUAAGUGUCCCUCAACAGAUGAAUGGAUAAAGAAGAGGUAUAUAUACACAAUGGAAUAGUACUCAGCCAUAAAAAGGAGGAGAGCCUGCCAUUUACAACACCAUGGAUGGACCUUGAGGGCAUUACGCUAAGUGAAUAGAUCUCACCCUUGAACUCCAGACUUUGUCUCCAGCUGCCACUUGCUGUCACCACGUGGAUGUCUCAUCAGGCACCUUAAGUCUGACAUGCCCAAACCCAACCCUUUAAUUUCACCCCCAAAACUCAUCUCCCCCUCAAACCCCAGUCCUCCCCUUCAUGAUAAAUGGCAGCUCUGUUCUUCCAGUCGUUCAGGCCAAAAAAACCCUUAGAAUCAUCUUUGCCUUCUCUUUCCCUCUCAAACUCCACAGCCUUCAAAAUACAUGCAGAUAAUUCCAAGAGCUUCCUUACGGGUUUGUCAACAGCAAAGCCAUCGUGAGCCUACUGAACCCCCUUGCUCAGGGCCCCCUCCCGGCCGGGCACUGCCUCACUCAGUGCAUCUUCUGGGCCACGCCGACGUGGCUACACCUGCUGCUACACCCCUUCCAACACCCCAGAGGUGCUCCCGCCUCAAGGCCCCCGCACAGGACAGUCUCCUCCCAGCUGCGCUCAAGUGUGGCUUCAUCCAAAGACCUUCCCUUCCCACCCCACCCUGUCUCUCAGUCUCCACCGCCUGCCUCGCUUUCCACCGCAUCACUGAUCCCUCCCAAUUGUGUAAAGAAGUAUAGCACUGCGGUAAUGGGUGUAAAUCCUGGAGUUGAACUGCCUGCAUGCAAACCCCCAGCUCCACUGCUUACCAGUUCUGUGACAGUGGGCAAGUUACUCGACCUCUGUGCCUCAGUUCCCCCUUGGAGCCGAUGAAGCUCCUACAAGUCGUCUGGGCAUUAAAUGAGUGGACCCCUGGGAAGUGCGUAGCACCUGGUAAGCACCCCGAGGGCGUUCACUCUUCCUGUUCUUCACGUGUCACUACGUCCCUCUCUCCCCCGGAAUGUGAUGCCCACGAGAGGACAGGCUUUCUGUUCCCGCCAGAACCCUGGCACCAGAAGAGCCCUCACCAUAUAGCAGGUGCGCAGCAGCGGUAGAUCCCAUGGCCGCGGCACUGUUUUCAUGGGUAGCUGUGAAUACAAACCUCUGAUUGCCUUAUCUUGCUCAUGUCAAGCAAGACUCCUAACUUCCUUGAAGACGACUUAGUGUUGCCGUCCUGCACCUCAGAUUCCUGGCUUCUUAGAGCACUUGGACUCCUGUUCUGGGUGUUCUGAUCAACGACAAAUACAUAAGAGGAUUUCUGUUUUCCGUGGAGAGACACGUGUACGUGAUUUUAACGUGGUAUAAUUGAUUUACAAUGACCUGCACAUAAGGCGCACUAUGACGGUGAGUUUCGAUGUGCCUACACCUGUGAAACCGUCGCCUCCGAGAGUGGACGUAUCCAUCACCCCAGGUUUCCUGUGCCCCAGGAAGCCCUCCUCCCUCAUCCUCGAGCAACUGCUUGCCUGUUCCCUGUCACUACAGAUCACUGGGCCUUUCUCGGAUUUUGCGUCGUUGGAAUCACAGCGGCAUGCGCCCUUCCGUCUGGCUGCUUCCACCCAGCAUAAGCAAUGCACCCAUGCUGUUGGCAUGUGUUAGGAGUUAUUGCACUGCUGGCUCUUCCCCGUUGCAUGGUUAUAAUAGGACUUGUUUAUCUUGAUGGAUGUGCGGUGCCAGAUUGGAAACCAGACGUGAACUUGAUCGGAUGGUUCCUGAGGCUGUCCCCGAGGCCAGCGUGUCCGUGUGUGGUUACUGGAGCCCACGUGCUGCCAUCCACGCAGGCAUGGAUGAGUUUAAGGUGGACAUGACCCAGCCCCAGCCUGUGGCCAGGCUCUCGGAUGACCUGGAGGGGGCGUAUCUGCUGAUCGGGUGGACUGGGUGCUACUGAAGUUGAACCUGCACGAGGGUCCAAGGCACAUCCUGGGACUCGUGGUCAGAGGUGCUCCUUAGAUGACCAACA